rnacentral:lncRNA from 1 species
CUCUUUUCUCUCGUCGUCUCCGUCGAGGUGAUUAGCCUGGCGAAUCUUCUCGUUGCUGGCUUCUCGCCGGCGUCUCGCCGGUUAUUUCUUUGGCUGAAGCGUCGAUUUGGAGCUGGCAUCUCAGCUAGGCCAACUGUUGUAUACUCGUCUGAUUUGAAGCGUGCUGCUGAGACUGCAGAAAUCAUAGAGAAAGCCUGUGAUGUAUCAAAUAUAGUGUUGACUGAAGCACUAAGAGAAAGGCACAUGGGAUAUCUGCAAGGCGUUUUCAAAGGCUUUGCUAAUUUUGAAGUUAAAAAUGGUUUGGACUUUGAUGGCAGAAACCAAGAAUUGCCGCUGCUAUCCUACCAAUUAAGAACUCUGAACCUUGAAGAUGUUUUGUUGAUGCGGGUGAUUGUUGUCGGCUAUGGUGCAGCCAUAUUGGAACUAAAAUAUUUUUACACUGACAGGGGAGCUUUGUUAUAUCUGCAGAGUCGAAGUACUUUGUACAUCAACAUCCAAAUCAAAAAACCAAAAGAAGAUUCUAAAAGUUUGAGGUGUGGUCUGAAUUCUAAAUUUUAGAUGCAAUUUGAAGAUCAAGAAACAAAUGAACAUGUUACUGGAUUCAGAUUCAGAAGAAGAUUCAAAACAAGGUUCAUAAAGUGAUGAAGAUUUAUGUAUAAAAUGUAGACCCAUAACUCAGAAGAUAUUUUUUUGGAGUGAUGAAGCUUUGUGAAUUUUUUUGAUGGAGAUUCAUAUGAAAAUCCGAAGCUAAACACUCAAAUAUUUCAAUCUGUGAACACUCUGAAGUCAAUCUACUUAAUAUAUCACCAAUUGAACAUUUCUGAUUUCUGAUUUGAGUUCAAUCUCAUUCGACAGAAAUGUAGAUCAAUAUUCAGAAGAUUUGAGUUAAGUUUUGUGAUUUAUUCUGAUGAAGAUUCAUACCAAGAAGGUUCAAAGAAUUCUUUUUCUCCCUCUAAAUCCUUUCUGAGCCGUUGUUCUUUUAUUUGGUCCUUUAAAUUGACUACAAUGUUAAUUUGGGCUUUCAUUUGAUGUAAAUUUUGUAUUCGGGCUCAAUCUGGGCUAUUUGAUUGGGUCAGGUUGUGUUGAGCCCUUUGAAAAUGGGCUUCCAAACCUGUUUGUGUUUGUUCAUUUAUGUAUUUUUAAUUUUUAUUUGUCAAAUAAUAUUAGCUGUUGGAUCU